CUGAAAAAUUUCUAUAGUCCUCGGUGGUUCUUCCUCUUCAGAUUUACCUCGUGUUUCCCUCCAUCCAGUCCAGACCCUGCACCAGGUAAGUCCCGAGAAUGUGUACACGCGUGCACACCUUUCACUUUCUGCAAACACUUUGUGAAGUUAAUUAAUGGCCCAGAAAUAAGCACAUCAAGGAGAUGCCCCAGGACCACGUCCUUGCUUCUCUCUCAUCUUUCUGCUUCCAUGUCUCUGGCAAGAACCAGCCACUCCUCUCCAGGCCUCUGGGGUUAGGGGCAGCCAGGUCUGAUCUUCAGCUUGUACCUUAAAGAAGUUCAUCAAAGACAAUUUUUCUAAAAAAAAUAUAGCAAUGCUCCAUAGAGAAGGAGUCUCCUGAAAGCAUUUGAUCCUUGUUAUUCCACUUCAUAACCAGAAAGGGCCUCAAUGUCCAAGUGCAGGAAGCUCCCUAGGACCAGACGCCCCUGCAAAUUUGGGUCUCAUCCCUUCCAUCCUCUCCUCUAUUUUCUGUGGGUUGGUCCUUCGAUCCCAUCUCCCCAGCCCUCUCUCUGCUCCUCAGGUGGGGAUACCCAAGUCUAUCUGGCCAUAUGAGCAUUAGUAUGGCAUGGGACUUCCUUGAGACUCUUAAUGGCCUGCCAUGGGUUCCUGCCCACUGCACGCAUAUUUUAAGUGGACAGGAGGAUGUGGAAUGUCUUCUUGAUACAAGAUGCUGGCCACGCUCUGCAGCCCUGGAGAGGCCCUUGGCCUCGAGUAGAUGCUUGGAAAGUCCACUGAGCUAUGUCCUCACAGGGGCGCCUGUGGUCAGUCCUUCGGCCUCCCUUCCACCCACCCAUGUGCUCAGAGCCAGGGAAUAAGUGACCAACAAGUAAAGACAAGUUCCUGUCACUCUCCCCAAAUGCUCACACUGUUUGGAAUCCAGUCUGAGUGCAUGGACCACACACCUUCAAAUCCAACUGGCCCGACUCGCUCCUUCCAAACUCUGCAAACCAGAAUAAAUACACUCAUUUUAAGGCAUGGUCAUGUAAGCAAACAAAAUGUUCAUACUCAGGGCUGGGGCUAUGAUUUGAGAAUCAGUUCAGUUCAGUCACUCAGUCAUGUCUGACUCUUUGCGACCCCAUGGACUGCAGCACGCCAGGCCUCCCUGUCCAUCACCAACUCCCAGAGUUUACUCAGACUCAUGUCCAUUGAAUCAGAUUUGAGAAUAGAUCUGGGAAUUAGAGACAUAAAGCUUUCUCUUGAAAAAUAUCCACCCAUAUCUGUUUCUAAAUCUUUCAAAAGCUGUGCAGGAGCAAAACUCUUGGCAAUAGUCAUUAAUAUAUAUGUUGCUUUCUUCAAAAGGAUUGCAUCUUUGCCUCAGCUGACUUAAUCAUGAGGAGAAGUCUUUUUGUUAGGAGAAAGAUGUGGUCAGUGUGUUUAAUUUUAGCUUUUCUAAUGGGUGUGUGAUCACAUUCCAUUAUGGGUUUGGUUUGUAAUUUCCUGAUGACUGGAGAAGGAAAUGGCAACCCACUCCAGUGUUCUUGCCUGGAGAAUCCCAGGGACAGGGGAGCCUGGUGGGCUGCCGUCUAUGGGGUCGCACAGAGUCGGACACGACUGAAGCGACUUAGCAGCAGCAGCAGCAGCAGAGAUGCUGAACACCUUUUCAUGAGAUUGUUAACUAAUCACGUAUUUUCUUUGGUGACAUGGCUAUAGAAGUCUGUGUCCAUCUUUAAAACUGAGUUUUAAAACUGAAAACUGAGUUUUUCAUUAUUUUCCCCUUUCGUUAUUGAUCUAAAGGAGUUCUUUCUGUAUUUUGGAUUUAAGUUCUUUGUUAGAUACUAUAUCGUGAUUAUUUUCUCCCAACAUGUGGCUUGUCUUUUCAUUUUCUUCAUAGCUUCCUCACUUGAGCUUUAGUUACGAUAAAACCAGUCUAUCCAUCUUGUUCUCUUACAAUUAAAGUUUUUGCGUCCUCUCAAAAAAAAGAAAAUGUAUUUGCUUACCCCAGAGCCACUAAGAUAUGUGCCUCUGUUUUCUUCCAAUAACUGUAAUGUUCAAUCUGUGAUCAACCUCAGGUCAUUUUUGUGCAGGUUGUGGGGUUGGUACUGAGGCUCAGGGCUUCCACGUGGAGUUGUUAGGAAAACUCUCCAUCAAAUUGCCUGGGAACUCUUAGUAAAAGCCAGUGUAUUAACAUAUUUAGGGCUUCCCUGGCGGCUCAGUGGUGAAGAAUCCACCUGCAAUGCAGUAGAUGCAGGUUUGAUCCUUGGGUCAGGAAGAUCCCUUGGAGGAGGAAAUGGCAACCCACUCCAGUAUUCUUGUCUGGAGAACUCCAUGGACAGAGUUGCCUGGCGGGUUACAGUCCAUAGAGGUAGCAACGAGUUGGAUGUGACUUAGCAGCUGAACAACAACAACAGUCUGGAGGCUCUCUAUUGCAUUCUUCUGAUCUCUUUGUCCAAAGAUGAAUAAACUUACUCUGUAAAGGGCCAGCCAGAGAGUAUUUUAGGUUUUGCUGGCCACGUGGUCUCGGUUGCAAAGACUCACAUCUCUCCAUGUGGUGUGAGGUAUGGCUGUGUUCUGAAACUUCCGUAAUGGACACAGAAAGGUGAAUUUCAUGUUAUUUCUGUGUGUCACAAUAUACCAUUCUUCUUUCGAUUUUGUCAAACUUUUAAAAAUGUGAAAGUCUCUCUUGUAACUGUA
ensembl:lncRNA